rnacentral:rRNA from 1 species
GACGAACGCUGGCGGCGUGCUUAACACAUGCAAGUCGAACGAAGAGCGAUGGAAGCUUGCUUCUAUCAAUCUUAGUGGCGAACGGGUGAGUAACGCGUAAUCAACCUGCCCUUCAGAGGGGGACAACAGUUGGAAACGACUGCUAAUACCGCAUACGAUCUAAUCUCGGCAUCGAGUAUAGAUGAAAGGUGGCCUCUACAUGUAAGCUAUCACUGAAGGAGGGGAUUGCGUCUGAUUAGCUAGUUGGAGGGGUAACGGCCCACCAAGGCGAUGAUCAGUAGCCGGACUGAGAGGAUGAACGGCCACAUUGGGACUGAGACACGGCCCAGACGCCUACGGGAGGCAGCAGUGGGGAAUCUUCCGCAAUGGACGAAAGUCUGACGGAGCAAGGCCGCGUGAGUGAUGACGGCCUUCGGGUUGUAAAGCUCUGUUAAUCGGGACGAAAGGCCUUCUUGCGAAUAGGGAGAAGGAUUGACGGUACCGGAAUAGAAAGCAACGGCUAACUACGUG